CACUUCUCCACUGUGUUACUGAAGAACGACGUUUUCCUUUGCUUUUGAACCAGACUUCGUCUCUUUCUACUGGCUGUGACAAGACUAGGCAGAAGGACCCUUGCUGGGGCGCAACUCGAAAUGUGAUCCAUCCAUGACUUAAGUAGGUGAACUCUAAGGAAAAGCCAUCGGAUGCUCUUCAGGCCAUAAUUUUGUGGAAAAUGCUUCUUUCUUGACAAAGACAGAAAUACAGACAAGAAAGAAAAUCAGUCCUCAGGUCUGAAAUUUCCUCACUGAAGAAGUUAAAUAGGAACAUGGUUCUCAAGUUCUCUAGGGACCUGCAGGGCACUCCAUCAUUUUCUCUUGCCAUCUGACACCUUAAAGGAAAGAUAAAGUGGAGAUGAAAGGAUUUACUCGAAGGAAAACUCCAAG